AGGGGUAUAGUAGCAAUACUAGAGACCGGCGCACGGGUGCGUAACGCGUAUGCAAUCUACCUUUUACAGAGGGAUAGCCCAGAGAAAUUUGGAUUAAUACCUCAUAGUAUAGCGACCUGGCAUCAGGAUUCUAUUAAAGUCACAACGGUAAAAGAUGAGCAUGCGUCCCAUUAGCUAGUUGGUAAGGUAACGGCUUACCAAGGCGACGAUGGGUAGGGGUCCUGAGAGGGAGAUCCCCCACACUGGUACUGAGACACGGACCAGACUCCUACGGGAGGCAGCAGUGAGGAAUAUUGGACAAUGGGCGCAAGCCUGAUCCAGCCACGCCGCGUGCAGGAUGACGGUCCUAUGGAUUGUAAACUGCUUUUGUACAGGAAGAAACCCUUUCACGUGUGAAAGAUUGACGGUACUGUAAGAAUAAGGAUCGGCUAACUCCGUGCCAGCAGCCGCGGUAAUACGGAGGAUCCAAGCGUUAUCCGGAAUCAUUGGGUUUAAAGGGUCCGUAGGCGGCCAGAUAAGUCAGUGGUGAAAGCCCAUCGCUCAACGGUGGAACGGCCAUUGAUACUGUCUGGCUUGAAUUACAAGGAAGUAACUAGAAUAUGUAGUGUAGCGGUGAAAUGCUUAGAGAUUACAUGGAAUACCAAUUGCGAAGGCAGGUUACUACUUGUGGAUUGACGCUGAUGGACGAAAGCGUGGGUAGCGAACAGGAUUAGAUACCCUGGUAGUCCACGCCGUAAACGAUGGAUACUAGCUGUUGGGAGCAAUCUCAGUGGCUAAGCGAAAGUGAUAAGUAUCCCACCUGGGGAGUACGGGCGCAAGCCUGAAACUCAAAGGAAUUGACGGGGGCCCGCACAAGCGGUGGAGCAUGUGGUUUAAUUCGAUGAUACGCGAGGAACCUUACCUAGGCUUAAAUGUAGAUUGA
rnacentral:rRNA from 1 species